UACGGAGGGGGCUAGCGUUGUUCGGAAUUACUGGGCGUAAAGCGCGCGUAGGCGGACCUGCAAGUCGGGGGUGAAAGCCCGAGGCUCAACCUCGGAACUGCCUUCGAUACUGCGGGUCUCGAGUCCGGGAGAGGUGAGUGGAAUUCCUAGUGUAGAGGUGAAAUUCGUAGAUAUUAGGAAGAACACCAGUGGCGAAGGCGGCUACCUGGACCGGAACUGACGCUGAGGCGCGAAAGCGUGGGUAGCAAACAGG
rnacentral:rRNA from 1 species